UAGCUAUUUAGUGUGAUAAUGGCGUUUGACGAAGAGGAAACAAACACCAUUGUCACACUCCACAGCUCUGGAGGACAAGGUUUUCUGCAGACAGAGGCGCUGUUGGUGCAAAGUGAUUGAUGGGUGACCUGGUGAAACAGAGGGGGGAAAGAGCAAAAUCAGGAAAGAAAAAUCCAGAUUAAGUGAAUUGUGCAGUUUAUACUUGGCCAAAAAACCAAACCCAAAACAGAUGUUGAAGCCAAAAAAAAAAAAAAAAGCCAUAGUGUCAUGUAAAUAUUCUAGGCUUAUUCAGCAUGUUCAAAGUCCAGUCUAGUCGCUCCCCCCCCCCCCCCCCUCCCCCCCUCCCCCCUCCAACUGAUUGUAGGGAUGACUGCAGCUGUGUGUGUGAAGGAGACAAAGAAAGACACCCAUGUGAGACUCAAUUACCAAGUUUGCCUUAACGUCUUUAAAAUGAAGAAAUUAAAGACUGGGUCAGGCUGUAUGCCAAAUGAGCUUGAAUGAGUUUUCAGUCUACUUUUAAUGUUAAACACAUCUGAGCUGAAUCAGUACAGGGGACGGUCCCGAGCUCUUUACAAUUUAAACCGUUCAAUCAUUAAGCUUCAGACCUAUUGGAGGGAAAUGUCUACUCACCUUAAUUUUCAAAAGGUCUUUCCAGAUUCAUUUAUACUUAAUAGUUGCACUUUUCCCUGCAGUUACUCUUCUACUCUCGGUCUUCCUGCUCAUGCCAGUGUCGCUUUGUUAAUGCCAGUUUUAAGUCCAGUAGAGCGUCCGCAGCUGCAGGUUGGUGAAGUGAUCCGUGGUGCAUUUGGGUUCAGGGCUGUCCCAUCCAAGUCUUUAUGUAGACAGAGCAGAGUUUGGACAAACAGCCAGUUGCACAUUAGUGAUAAGCUACGGGGGAAGUAUUGAUCGACCCUGACCAGAGGUAGAAGGUGGAGGGGAGACUUUUUUUUUUUUUUUUUUUAAAUACAACUGUUCAGGGCCUUAAUCAGGAUUCACUGAAAGUCACUGUGAGCUCAGCGACAACAAACUUAAGACAGGUGCUGCUCCCAAACAGAUAGCAGUUUGGUGGAAAUGAAAUUUCUUAUUUUUGUUGGAGGUAGGAAUCUAAAAUACUCAUAAUGCCAUGUGCCGUUUCACAUGUUCUAAAUUUUAAACACCAAAGUUCCUAAGAGUUUAUUCAUGAUCAAAAACAUCAGUUCUAGGGUCACAACUUAAUCUGCAAUAGCUGCCAGGUGAAUGAACAGUUAAUGGCUAAACCACACGAAUCCCACAAGUUUCAAAUGUCACAAGAGUUAGCAAAAAGUAACUUGCUGCAAUAGUUGAGUUAUAGAUAUGGCUGGUACUACGGCCAGAAAUGUAGAUUAUAUUGAAACGGAUGCUUGAAGGUUUUGAAAUAUAAAACCUACAUGUAAUUAGAUGUAAUUCAUACUUUUUUUUUUUUUUUUAACCAAACUGAGAAUAACAGCGUGCAUGAAUUUGACAGGUAAACAAAGGCCUGUAUGACACUGAAAACAGCUUUACAUGAAGGGUCCAGUGUUUCACUCAGAAACAAGUGUUUAGCCUGAAAUCAAAUCUAUUAAAAGUUCGUGUACCUACAAGAACAAAACAAACCUGUUUCAAUAGCACCUGUGAUUUUUAUUUAUUAUUAAGUGAGUGAAAGCGUUUAUAAGGAGGAGCUACAGGAGAAAAGUUGGCUUUUGGUUUGUUUGUGACCAGAUUGAGGGUAGGAGGGCUUGAUAAAAUGUCCCCGGACUGGCAGGGUGGCUUUUAUUUGCUCGUCCUUGAAGCUGAUAACUCUUAGAUUGCCUGUGUGAAUGAACUGAGGUCCCUUUACCGCCCACGUGCACACACAGAGAAAGAUGGUAGUAACUUUCAAAUAUUUGUCAAUGCAGACA
ensembl:lncRNA